rnacentral:rRNA from 1 species
AACCACCUACGGGAGGCAGCAGUGAGGAAUAUUGGUCAAUGGCCGAGAGGCUGAACCAGCCAAGUCGCGUGAGGGAAGAAUGUCCUAUGGAUUGUAAACCUCUUUUGUCAGGGAGCAAAGUCACCCACGUGUGGGUGUUGGAGAGUACCUGAAGAAAAAGCAUCGGCUAACUCCGUGCCAGCAGCCGCGGUAAUACGGAGGAUGCGAGCGUUAUCCGGAUUUAUUGGGUUUAAAGGGUGCGUAGGCGGGGUAUCAAGUCAGCGGGAAAAUCGUGGGG